CGAGUGGCGGACGGGUGAGGAAUACAUCGGAAUCUACUCUUUCGUGGGGGAUAACGUAGGGAAACUUACGCUAAUACCGCAUACGACCUACGGGUGAAAGCGGAGGACCUUCGGGCUUCGCGCGAUUGAAUGAGCCGAUGUCGGAUUAGCUAGUUGGCGGGGUAAAGGCCCACCAAGGCGACGAUCCGUAGCUGGUCUGAGAGGAUGAUCAGCCACACUGGAACUGAGACACGGUCCAG
rnacentral:rRNA from 1 species